AGGAUCAUGUGUACAAGCUUCUCUGCUUGCUCUCAGGACAAUUUUCACCAAUUGGCAAGAGCAUCCAAAUCCAGAGAGGGGAUAUUUGAGGGAUACUCACACAGUGGAUUAGUCAAUCGAGAAAAAAAUCAUCACCGAGUCAUUCAACUAGAUUUUGUUAUUUACAAAGCUACUAAAUUUUAUUUGAGAGAUCGCCAACACUUUUGAUCUAUUAGCUGUUCUUCAUGAUAGCUGCAAAAUAAGAACUCAUUCAUGUGUAGAAGCACAAUUUAUACCGUGAAACUAAUUCCACUUACAUAUAUAAGCCUUUGAGAAUGGAAAAUUUCUUAUUUACA